AAUGGGUGAAAGCCUGAUCCAGCAAUGCCGCGUGAGUGAUGAAGGCCUUAGGGUUGUAAAGCUCUUUUACCAGGGAUGAUAAUGACAGUACCUGGAGAAUAAGCUCCGGCUAACUCCGUGCCAGCAGCCGCGGUAAUACGGAGGGAGCUAGCGUUGUUCGGAAUUACUGGGCGUAAAGCGCACGUAGGCGGCUUUUCAAGUCAGGGGUGAAAUCCCGGGGCUCAACCCCGGAACUGCCCUUGAAACUGGAUGGCUAGAAUACUGGAGAGGUGAGUGGAAUUCCGAGUGUAGAGGUGAAAUUCGUAGAUAUUCGGAAGAACACCAGUGGCGAAGGCGACUCACUGGACAGUUAUUGACGCUGAGGUGCGAAAGCGUGGGGAGCAAACAGGAUU
rnacentral:rRNA from 1 species